GACCUGCAUCGUGUACCCGAAUGACAUUGAGCAAAUAUGAAAAACAGGAUAGGCUAACGAAUAUGGCAUCUUACAGCGGAGUGUUAUUGUAAUCAUGAACUGAAGAAUGAAAAGGUAAAGUAAAGC